AGGGACAAGAAACCUAAUUUUGACUUCUAAUCAAAAAUUAAAGUGAUUAGUGACACUUUUGUCUCUA
rnacentral:tRNA from 1 species